UACGGGAGGCAGCAGUGAGGAAUAUUGGUCAAUGGGCGCGAGCCUGAACCAGCCAAGUAGCGUGCAGGANGACGGCCCUAUGGGUUGUAAACUGCUUUUAUNCAGGGAUAAAGUGAGNCACGUGUGNCGUAUUUGCAGGUACNGGAUGAAUAAGGACCGGCUAAUUCCGUGCCAGCAGCCGCGGUAAU
rnacentral:rRNA from 1 species